CGGUAGCAUACUCACCUCUGAGUGGGAAAGAUCUGGGCUGAAACCUCACACCAGAGAACUGGAAAAAUAUACAGACCUGGCACCACAGUGUAAAAGGAAUACUACAGAGCAGGAGUUGACAUCUUUCAGAUGAGAUAUUAAACUGAGGCACCAUUUGCUCUUUUUGGAAGAUUCCAUGGCAUUAUCUAAGGAAGAGAAGUGGAUUUCCUGAUAGGAUUUAAUCAAUGCUUACCUCCUAGUCCAGGUCACCAAUUACCUUACCUGAUUGCUAAUGUUGUCCUCUCAGCUAAUUUGCACAAAUUAGCUGAUUUAAUUACUACCUUACUAUAUCUCAGAUUUUGUCACCCAAAAAGCCCCUGAAAUUUGACAACAGGCUUGGAGAUUGCCAGUGCUUCCGAUCUCCACCCCGGGGCCACCUUGAUGUCGAUCACAAUGCCAAGGGUCAGUCUGUACCAGAGCCGGGGAAAGGUCGAGCAGAUUCCGUGCCCCCAACCACUGAAUGUCAACCUGCUGGUGAGCCGCUGUCUCAGCAUCGGUCUCGGGUCAUCAGUGAAACGCCCAGUCGCCACAGUGGCCAAAACCAGGAGUAACUGGCGAGCCAGCCUGCAGCAUUCCACCUUACCAGCCAUUAAAUCUCUCCCAAACUCUCAGCUAGCAGAAGUGAGGCGUGGUGGGGAACACGGUAACUCGGAAACACGACCUGUCUUUGCACAACCUCUGCCUCCCAGCAACGUGCAGAGGAUCACCGUUGACCUUCGAUCAGCUUUAGCCAGGGUCCAUGAGCCCUGCGAGCACAACGAUGAGACCCUGGACGAACACACCGUGUUGGAAGAGGUGGGCAGGGGCGUUUCACCCAACGCCGGAGACACGUCGGCGUUUGACAGAAGUCAGCAGCCGGCAGACACCGGUAACUGGAAACCGGAUCCACACCCAAAGUCUGGAAAAAGUCGAAGUAACGAAAGGUCCUUUGAACGUUUGAAAAUCAAAAUGCCCUUGCCACCCAUAGCGAACCGUCCCAGUGAACGGGAACCGGCUCCCAGGGCCCCUCUCACUUCCUCGGCUCACAACCCAAAGGUCGGCCUCCUCCAAGUCACUAAAGAUGGUGCACUGGCAAACCCAGACCAUGACUUCCAAUCCGCCAGGCGCCAAGGUAACCAAUUAGUCCCAUUCCCGAAGAUAUUUCUAACAACUAGCCCGUCCAAUGUCUCGGUGAGGGCUGAAUGUGCAUCGAGACGAGAGGUGAGAUGACAUUUUACUGUUUUUCGUCCUGUCCGUGUAAGCGGACUUGACUUGGUUUUGCCGGCCACUUUCGCUUGGGUUCGCUUGGGUGUCCGUGUUGUUUUACUGCCCCUCCACUUUGCUACGUGCUUCGUAAUUCGGGCUAAUUGCUUGUAACUAUAACCUCGGGAUGUUCACGGUAAUUCGUCUUUAACUUUCUAUUAACGGGGACGUUUAUACCUGUUAUGUUACCGCUGAUGGCGCAGCUUUGAAGAAGAUCGAAGCCGAGUUGGGCAAGUGCUGAGACUUUAAGCAGUUCUUCCUUUGGGAUGUCUGCAUUAUGCCUUUCUAUCUGCCAGAGUUCCUUCCUACUCCGGGUGAGAACUUACCCAGAACGGGGAGGUAGACAACUGCCGUUGGCAACGAAGCGGGAAGACCCUCUCGUAUGUGGAGUGUAUGCGAAACCUGGGGGCGAAUGUUCACCUGAGCAAGAAGCUGUGGAUUAGUGCUGGGUUCGGCAUGCCACGCUUGGCGUGCGUUUCAUAUCUGUACAGCCAGAAUGGGCGGCAGUGAGAUCGCGGCCGUCACGUCUUGCCCAAGUGACACAGGAUGCGCCUGUGAUUUAACUUUUCGGCAGAUCUGUUAGGUUUGGGAUUUCAAUGACGUUCUUUCGUCCAUAAUAACCUUCCGUGGUUUGAAGUUGCACAAUGAUUUAAUAUACUACUAAAGGUUAUACCAAAAGUAUAAUCAUACAUUGGCUGUAUGAUUAACACACGUUGCCAUUAGGACCCUGACAGUUAGGCCUCCAAACUGUAGCUGGACUGUGGACUACAGAUUAUAACGGGAAAUAGAAAAGGCGUGUCAAAAGGGCAAUGUUAUGACAGACACAGGACAUUUUAACAUGCUGGUAGAUUGGAAAAAUCAGGUUGAUGGUGGAUCCCAAGAGAGUGAAUUUGUUAAAUGCCUAUUAAAUGGCCUUUUAGUGCAAUUUGUUGUUGAGCCUACUAGGGGAUCAGUUUAACUGGAUUGAGAGCUAAGUAAUGAACUGGAGGCGAUUAGGGAGAUUAAGGUAAAGGAACCCUUAGGAGCAGUGAUCACAAUAUGAUUGAGUUCAACUUGACAUUUGACAGGGAGAGGUUGAUAAGGAUGAUUCCGGGAAUGAAAGGGUUAUCAGAUGAGGAACGUUUGAUGGCUUUGAACUGGAAUUUAGAAGGUUGGAUGGUGAGGGGUGGGAUUUCAUUAAAGCCUUUCAUAGGCUUAGACAGAAUACAGGGUGGUUCUCCUCGACCCUGAGGGUAGCCUCAACAGGCACAAAGGGAGGUCAUGGACCUACAUGUUGGAAUAGGAAUGGGAAUCACAAUUAAAAUGUUUGGUCAUUGGGAAGUUCCGCUUUUGGCAGAUGUGCCUGAUGUCCGAUGGGUCUCACCAAUGUAAGGGAGGCUGCACCAGGAACACUGGACGCAAUAGACAACUCCAACUGAUUCGCAGGUGAAGUGCAGCCUCACCUGAAAGGACUGUUUGGGACCCUGACUGGAGAGAACCUUGACCAACCUGCAUGUUAAAGGAAUAGAUCAGAGUUUUGAGCAAUCUGUUGAGGAUUCUACAAUCCCAUUUCAUCAGCUGCUACAUCAGAUGAGGAAAAGAACGUCCAGUGCAAACCAUGUGCUGAUUACAGAGGUACUGAAGUGUCUGAGGGAGGAACUGUGGUUAACAUCACCAAAACCCAAAUGUGGCCAGAACGAAAGAGAUGCUAUUGGUCCUCUAUACAACAGAAGAAGUAUUCCAUUCUAUAGAAGGGCUGAGAACAGAUUGGAUGGUCAGGCAAGAUGCAUAUAUCAAUCUUCUCCCUUGAGGAGAAAUAAAUCACCUGUCAAGCUCAGCUUGUCCAAAAACAGGUCAUUGUAACAGUGUGGUAUUGUGCAUGAUAAUUACAGUGUGGAAGCAGCAGCACAAAUCACUUUAGAAACACUAUACUUGUGAUGGAGAGAGUGCAAGAAAGCAUCACCAAAAUUACUUUAGGGAUGAUGGUUUUGGAACAGGGUUGGGUGUGGUUUCCCACAAGGGAAUGCCAAGCAGACUGAGCAUAUACUAUCUAGAGUUUAGAAGAUUGAGAAGUGAUUACAUUGAAGCAUGCUGCAAUCAUACAAGCUUGGCAGAGUAAAUGUAGGGAUGAUGCAUGUCCUGGCUGGGGUGAUUAGGUCCACUUAUCAGGGGCCUCCUAUCGGUUGUGAAUCAUUGGAAUUCUCAGCCCUGGAGGACUCUGGAGGUUCAGUCACUGAGUAUAUUCGUAAUGGAGAUCAAAAGUUUUUUGGACAUUACAGUGACCAAGAGGUGAGUGUAGAAGGAUAGUGCUGAGGUCACAAAUAAGCGAUGACACUGACAGAGCAGGAUUGAGGGGCCAAAUUGCAAGGGCCUGGUGGGGAAGGACCACAGUCUAAGGUCCUUCUCCCAUGGGAGUCGAGGGGUGGGGGUUUUUAAAUAUGAAAGAACAAAGUGCCACAUGGGUGGCAAAACAUUAGAACUUUGAAAAUGUAAAGACAGUAAUGGUACCAACUGUAAAGAAUUGAAAGUCUUUGAAUGGUUAUUGUAUACAAUUUUAUAUUGGAAUAAAGUAUAUUUUGUUUAAUAAAAAGAUUGUUUUCUUAUGUUCUUUAUGGGCAGCUCUGGAAAACAUUUGCAUGUAAUUUUAAUUUCUUUUCUGCAGUGUAAAGAAGAUACUGCUG